CCUACGGGUGACAGCAGUGGGGAAUAUUGGGCAAUGGGCGCAAGCCUGACCCAGCAACGCCGCGUGAAGGAAGAAGGCUUUCGGGUUGUAAACUUCUUUUAUCAGGGACGAAGCAAGUGACGGUACCUGAUGAAUAAGCCACGGCUAACUACGUGCCAGCAGCCGCGGUAAUACGGGGGGUGCAAGCGUUGUCCGGAAUCAUUGGGCGUAAAGAGUUCGUAGGCGGCACGUAAAGUCUGGUGUUAAAGGCAGAGGCUCAACUUCUGUACGGCACUGGAUACUUGCGAGCUAGAAGGCGGUAGAGGUAAAGGGAAUUCCUGGUGUAGCGGUGAAAUGCUUAGAUAUCAGGAGGAACAUCGGUGGCGUAAGCGCUUUACUGGGCCGUAAUUGACGCUGAGGAACGAAAGCCAGGGUAGCAAAUGGGAUUAGAUACCCUUGUAGUC
rnacentral:rRNA from 1 species